rnacentral:tRNA from 1 species
GGGCCCGUAACUUAACCGGAUAGAGUACCCGGCUUCGGACCGGGAAAUCGGGGUUCGAGGCACCCUUUUAAGGGUCUGAAGCAGGCUUUGCCUGCUUCUAACUGAAGAAAAGGCUGCACCCAAAAACCCAAAGGGGUGACGAAAAUCCUCGCGGGCCCA